GACGAACGCUGGCGGCGUGCUUAACACAUGCAAGUCGAACGGAAAGGCCCUGCUUUUGUGGGGUGCUCGAGUGGCGAACGGGUGAGUAACACGUGAGUAACCUGCCCUUGACUUUGGGAUAACUUCAGGAAACUGGGGCUAAUACCGGAUAGGAGCUCCUGCUGCAGGGUGGGGGUUGGUAAGUUUCGGCGGUUGGGGAUGGACUCGCGGCUUAUCAGCUUGUUGGUGGGGUAGUGGCUUACCAAGGCUUUGACGGGUAGCCGGCCUGAGAGGGUGACCGGCCACAUUGGGACUGAGAUACGGCCCAGACUCCUACGGGAGGCAGCAGUGGGGAAUAUUGCACAAUGGGCGGAAGCCUGAUGCAGCAACGCCGCGUGCGGGAUGACGGCCUUCGGGUUGUAAACCGCUUUCGCCUGUGACGAAGCGUGAGUGACGGUAAUGGGUAAAGAAGCACCGGCUAACUACGUG
rnacentral:rRNA from 1 species